rnacentral:rRNA from 1 species
UACGUAGGGGGCGAGCGUUGUCCGGAUUCAUUGGGCGUAAAGAGCUCGUAGGCGGUUCGGCAAGUCGGGUGUGAAAACUCCAGGCUCAACCUGGAGACGCCACCCGAUACUGCUGUGACUCGAGUCCGGUAGGGGACCACGGAAUACCUGGUGUAGCGGUGAAAUGCGCAGAUAUCAGGUGGAACACCGGUGGCGAAGGCGGCGGUCUGGGCCGGAACUGACGCUGAGGAGCGAAAGCGUGGGGAGCGAACAGG